GACGAACGCUGGCGGCGUGCUUAACACAUGCAAGUCGAACGAUGAAGCCUAGCUUGCUAGGUGGAUUAGUGGCGAACGGGUGAGUAAUACGUGAGUAACCUACCUUUAACUCUGGGAUAAGCCUGGGAAACUGGGUCUAAUACCGGAUACGACCAAUCUCCGCAUGGGGUGUUGGUGGAAAGCGUUAUGUAGUGGUUAUAGAUGGGCUCACGGCCUAUCAGCUUGUUGGUGAGGUAACGGCUCACCAAGGCGACGACGGGUAGCCGGCCUGAGAGGGUGACCGGCCACACUGGGACUGAGACACGGCCCAGACUCCUACGGGAGGCAGCAGUGGGGAAUAUUGCACAAUGGGCGCAAGCCUGAUGCAGCGACGCCGCGUGAGGGAUGACGGCCUUCGGGUUGUAAACCUCUGUUAGCAGGGAAGAAGAGAAAUUGACGGUACCUGCAGAGAAAGCGCCGGCUAACUACGUGCCAGCAGCCGCGGUAAUACGUAGGGCGCGAGCGUUGUCCGGAAUUAUUGGGCGUAAAGAGCUUGUAGGCGGUUUGUCGCGUCUGCUGUGAAGGCCGGGGCUUAACCCCGUGUAUUGCAGUGGGUACGGGCAGACUAGAGUGCAGUAGGGGAGACUGGAAUUCCUGGUGUAGCGGUGGAAUGCGCAGAUAUCAGGAGGAACACCAAUGGCGAAGGCAGGUCUCUGGGCUGUAACUGACGCUGAGAAGCGAAAGCAUGGGGAGCGAACAGGAUUAGAUACCCUGGUAGUCCAUGCCGUAAACGUUGGGCACUAGGUGUGGGGGACAUUCCACGUUUUCCGCGCCGUAGCUAACGCAUUAAGUGCCCCGCCUGGGGAGUACGGCCGCAAGGCUAAAACUCAAAGAAAUUGACGGGGGCCCGCACAAGCGGCGGAGCAUGCGGAUUAAUUCGAUGCAACGCGAAGAACCUUACCAAGGCUUGACAUAUACUGGACCGCAUCAGAGAUGGUGUUUCCCUUCGGGGCUGGUAUACAGGUGGUGCAUGGUUGUCGUCAGCUCGUGUCGUGAGAUGUUGGGUUAAGUCCCGCAACGAGCGCAACCCUCGUUCUAUGUUGCCAGCACGUUAUGGUGGGGACUCAUAGGAGACUGCCGGGGUCAACUCGGAGGAAGGUGGGGAUGGCGUCAAAUCAUCAUGCCCCUUAUGUCUUGGGCUUCACGCAUGCUACAAUGGCCGGUACAGAGGGUUGCGAUACUGUGAGGUGGAGCUAAUCCCUAAAAGCCGGUCUCAGUUCGGAUUGGGGUCUGCAACUCGACCCCAUGAAGUCGGAGUCGCUAGUAAUCGCAGAUCAGCAACGCUGCGGAGAAUACGUUCCCGGGCCU
rnacentral:rRNA from 1 species